UACAGAGGUCCCAAGCGUUGUUCGGAUUCACUGGGCGUAAAGGGUGCGUAGGUGGUUGGGUAAGUCUGAUGUGAAAUCUCUGAGCUCAACUCAGAAACUGCAUUGGAUACUAUCCGGCUAGAGAAUCGGAGGGGGGACUGGAAUACUUGGUGUAGCAGUGAAAUGCGUAGAUAUUGGGAAGAACACCAGUGGCGAAGGCGGCUCACUGGCCCGAUACUGACGCUGAGGCACGAAAGCGUGGGGAGCAAACAGG
rnacentral:rRNA from 1 species